UACAGAGGGUGCAAGCGUUGUUCGGAAUUAUUGGGCGUAAAGGGCGCGUAGGCGGUGCGGUAAGUCUGCGGUGAAAUCUCCCGGCUCAACUGGGAGGCUGCCGUGGAAACUGCCGUGCUUGAGUGUGGGAGAGGUGAGUGGAAUUCCCGGUGUAGCGGUGAAAUGCGUAGAUAUCAGGAGGAACACCGGUGGUGUAGACGGCUUUCUGGACCGUAACUGACGCUGAGACACGAAAGCGUGGGUAGCAAACAGG
rnacentral:rRNA from 1 species